rnacentral:lncRNA from 10 species
GACGUGCGCCCCAUGGCGGAGCGAGCUGAAGUUGCAGCCUGGGACCAGGGAAAUCAAGAGGAUCAUGCUGGCUGCUGUGUGGAGAAAAGACCGAGGGGAAGUAAAAGAACAAAGAACAAAAGAGAACAUGAUGGCUUGGAUCAAGAAUCACCAUUAGCUCCCUUCUGAUGAAGCAGGAGUUGACUCAGCUGGGCUUUCAGCUGGACACGGAAAGCGGAGGUAGAUGAAUUGUCAUGAUCAAGUGGGUGUCAUCAAGUACUUAGAAAGGUUUCAUUUUGUUCCUACUGUCUUUC